rnacentral:rRNA from 1 species
GACAGAGGAUGCGAACGUUGCUCGGAAUUACUGGGCGUAAAGCGCGCGCAGGUUGCCCUGUAAGUCGUGUGUGAAAUCCCUCUGCUCAACGGAGGAAGUGCACGGGAUACUGCAGGGCUGGAGUACAGAAGAGGACAGCGGAAUUCCCGGUGUAGAGGUGAAAUUCGUAGAUAUCGGGAGGAACACCAGUGGCGAAGGCGGCUGUCUGGGCUGAUACUGACACUGAGGCGCGAAAGCGUGGGAAGCAAACAGG